GACAUUUUUGUUGACAAAUAAUCCCAUUGGACAUGUUUUUGGUUUUUAUUUGUCAUAAAGUGAAUCAAAAGUGCAUGUAAACCUAAAAUAAAUCAAACCGUUAUACUUCAAAUUUCUCAGCUUUUUUAAUAGGAUAUAGGAUGUUAUGGUUAUGGACACCAGUAGAUUUUGCUCUACUAUGAUUUUACUUACAUUCAUAAAAUGAUAAAGCUCAUUUUUUGGGGGAGUGAUGGGCUAGAUAAACUUCCAAAGAGAUGAACUACGAAAUCAAUGUUCAGCAUGGUUGCUUGUCCUUCAAUCAAUUUCUUUAGUGCUAUAGCAUAUCAUCAUUCAUUCCAUGCAACAAUAUCAGAAAUGAAAGCCCCCAAAUUUCCAACCACUAAGCAUAUCUCUUGUAUUCCUGAACUUCAUCCUUGGCCAUGUUUUGGACCUCAGACUUUUCUGAACCUUUAUGCCAUAUCUGAAAACAAAAGUUCAGGCUUCUCAAGAUAAGUAUUUAUGUGCCUCAUUUCAAUCAGAAAUUUAACCACAAGCUAUGUCUCUUUUCAGAAUAAACAAUACUCUAUGAGUUUAAGUUAUAUCUAAUUAGAGUUAAGUAUGUUUAUAGUUUUUAUAAAUUACACUUUUUAGUUUGGUCCAUAUAAAAAAUUCAUAAAAGCAUGUUGCUUUUAUAGGGAGUAAAAAAUAAUUUAACAUUUUAUUUAUGACAAGAAUAGAAAAGGAAAUGGUAUACUGUAGCUUCUUUUCCUUAAAACUAUUACAAAUAUAAUAGUGAAGAAUCAAAGAUAAUUUAAAUACAAAAACAAAAAUAAAACAGGUUCUUAGUUUUGUACAUUUACAUGUCCUAUAGUAUAUUCACUUGCCAAUGUUGUUGAUGGAAUGGUAACAUUGUAGUCAGGGAACAGGACAACCCUCUGCAUGUACACCUGGAGCUGUAGGGCAUUUAGCCAAAGGGCAGUGGUCUGGUUCAAGACCCCACCAAGUUGGACCAUAAAUACCGUAAGAUUGAAGAGAAAAAUAAAGUAGUAAACCUAUAAAGGCAACUCCAGCAUCUAAACCAGCUGAAAGGAUGUAAGUAUGUCUAGCCCACCAUGCUUUGAACUUUCUAUAAACAUAGAAAUUGAAAAAUAUUCCAACAAUCCCCCAAGUAAUAUAAUUCACAGAUCUCACAGGUGGGAUGUCAGAUGCACCUGCAAUGAUAAUAGGAAUGUUGAUGAAUUGAAUCCACUUUUGGUUGGGAAAUUUGAGAGAAAGAAGCCACACGGGAACUGGUGCGAUUAGACCGAUAAGGAAAAACCAAUUCAAUUCGGGAUAAACACCGUCUUUGGUAAACAUUCUCUUUGGCCCUACAACUCCCCAGAUGAUUGAAGCAUUGUAAAAUACAUCAUCACCAGGACAUGUCCAAGGACUACCUUUUGGCAAUAAUGAUUCAUCACAUAUGUUCUCAAUAGAUGUUAGAAGCCACC
rnacentral:lncRNA from 1 species